AUACAAUGCAGAAAAUAUGUUCAUCUUCAGACAUCUUGUUCAAUGUUUAGGCCUUCUCUUGAUUUAGAUGGUUCACACCUGGAAAAUUAAGUGUGUUUGGAUUUCAAAUUUAGGCUUUCUCUUGUUUAUAUAAAAUAUGCAAAAAUAAUAAUUUCAUUUGAAACUCAAUUUCAACCAAAUCAAUUAUACAUAUCAACUACCAAGUUUAUUUAAAAUCACACGUGUCAAAAUGCUCAACAGAAGAUGUUGAAUUGACUCAAACGUAUUUUUAAACCAUUUUAUAAUGAAUGCCAAACACACUAAAAAAUAGUCUAUAUGUAACCAUGCAAAUAUAUUAUCCUCAUAAACUUUCUUAAGUGUGUGUGUGCGCGCACAAGUAAUGUCUUCCUCAAAAUAUAGCUCUGAGAUUUCUUCAAGCACACACACUAACUCUUAAUACUGAUGCUUUUGGCAGUUGCUCAGAAUGAUGUGGAGUCGUCCAAAAUUGCCUUUGUGUCUUCAGCAUCUGCAAUUGAGAAGUGGACCUCGUUGACAGGGCUGGUUGGUAAACUUAAAGGAAUUUGAACCUUGAGUGAAGAAGCUACAAGAAAUUUUAUUUCAUCUUAGAUAUAGAGAAUUCCAUUAAUUUUCUCUGCUGGCUCACCAAAUUUUGGUGUCUUGGGGGCAGUCCCAUCACAGCUUUAUUUAGGAAAGAGAAAGACCAACAAGCUCAUUUUUCACGGAUCAUGAAUGAAGUUUGAGCUUGGAUGUAAAUUGUCUGGCACAAAAUUGUAAUUUUAAUUGUAAUGUCAUUGAAAAUUUGACUACAUGCAAUAUUGUUGUUCCCUCAAACUACUGAAGGAUAAUUAACUGCAACCAUGUCACCACCCAAACUUUAGCCAUUAAAAAAUGUCACGGCUAAGGCCACAACCAUAUUCAAGGCUAAUGGUUAAAAUUAUUAUCAUCAUUGGCUAAUUAAAUAUGAAAAUGAAAUAAAACAUGCAAAUAGGCUCCAAAUAAAUGAGACUUGGGGCAUGACGUAGGAUAACACUGCAAAGGACAUGGCUUCAGAAAGAAAAAGAAAGAAAAAAAGCGCUGCAAAGGACUUCACCUUUAACUCACUGCAAGUCGUCACUUUGAAUUUUUUAUUUACCAAACACAUACUUGAAUUGGAGUAAACACAUAUUUAGGAUCAAGGUCUCACAUGAUUAUAGGUUCAUAUCACAUUACAGGAAUCUUACAACACAAUGUUACAUGGGAACUAGAAGCUAUAUGUCUCUUCAUAACAUACAUGAUGGUACAUUACACGGCUACUCUAUGAUUGUAUAUGGUCAUUUCAAUGAACAAUCAGAUAAAUGACAUUAACAACAAAAACUACAGUUUCUUUAAAAAAAAAAAAA
rnacentral:lncRNA from 1 species